CCUACGGGGGGCAGCAGUGGGGAAUAUUGGGCAAUGGGCGCAAGCCUGACCCAGCAACGCCGCGUGAAGGAAGAAGGCUUUCGGGUUGUAAACUUCUUUUCUCAGGGACGAAGCAAGUGACGGUACCUGCGGAAUAAGCCACGGCUAACUACGUGCCAGCAGCCGCGGUAAUACGUAGGUGGCAAGCGUUAUCCGGAUUUACUGGGUGUAAAGGGCGUGUAGGCGGGACUGCAAGUCAGAUGUGAAAACCACGGGCUCAACCUGUGCCCUGCAUUUGAAACUGUAGUUCUUGAGUGCUGGAGAGGCAGGCGGAAUGCGUGGUGUAGCGGUGAAAUGCGUAGAUAUUAGGAAGAACACCGGUGGCGAAGGCAGUCUGCUGGACAGCAACUGACGCUGAGGCGCGAAAGCGUGGGGAGCAAACAGGAUUAGAUACCCUUGUAGUC
rnacentral:rRNA from 1 species